GACGCCUGCUACUAGUCUGUCCUCUGUCAUCUGGAACCGGACGCUUCCUGUCCUGACUCUGCCCCGGCACCGUCGCCCGCUCACGGACUGAUACAGCUCCUCGGUCAACCCACAACACCUGCUCAAUCGACGCGUCCAAGGUCCGCAACCUCUGUGCCUGAACUAAAACGAAGAUCUCUGGCCUCAAGCCCCUCUCAGGGUGGCGCAACACGAACUGUAUGAGCUUUCAGAGAUCCAGUAAAAAUGGGAAUAUAAAGUUCAGUGCAGAAUAGAUGUAGAAAUCAAUGUGAAAGAAAGGCGAGAAAGAAGAGACUAUUAAGGUGCAAGCUCGGGUUAAAUCUUCUCGUAUGUAUAU
rnacentral:lncRNA from 1 species